GGGGCUGUAGUUCAGCUGGUUAGAACGCCGGUCUGUCAAGCCGGAGGUCGCGGGUUCAAGUCCCGUCAGCCCCGCCA
rnacentral:tRNA from 3 species